GGGAGGGGGAUAUGGGGGGAUGGAGGGAGAGAUGGGGAGAUGGAGGGGGAUGUGGGGGAGAAUGGAAGGGAAUGGGGGAAGAUGGAGGGAGAGAUGGGGGAGAUGGAGGGGGAUGGAUGGAUGGAUGGAUGAGGAUGGAUGGAGGGAUGGAUGGAAGGAAGAGGUUGGAUGGAGGGAUGGAGGGAUGGAGGGAUGGAGGGAUGAGGAUGAAGAGGUUGGAUGGAGGGAUGGGGAUGGAUGGAGGGAUGGAAGGAUGAGGAUGAAGAGGUUGGAUGGAGGGAUGGAUGGAGGGAUGAGGAUGAAGAGGUUGGAUGGAGGGAUGGAUGGAGGGAUGGAGGGAUGAGGAUGAAGAGGUUGGAUGGAUGGAUGGAUAGAUGGACGGAUGGAUGGAGGGAUGAGGAUGAAGAGGUUGGAUGGAGGGAUGGGGAUGGAUGGAGGGAUGGAAGGAUGAGGAUGAAGAGGUUGGAUGGAGGGAUGGAGGGAUGGAUGGAUGAGGAUGAAGAUGUUGGAUGGAGGGAUGGGGAUGGAGAGGUUGGAUGGAGGGAUGGGGAUGGAUGGAUGAGAAUGGAAGAGGUUGGAUGGAGGGAUGGAUGGAGGGAUGGAGGGAUGAGGAUGAAGAGGUUGGAUGGAUGGAUGGAGGGAUGGAGGGAUGAGAAUGAAGAGAUUGGAUGGAGGGAUGGAUGGAGGGAUGGAGGGAUAAGGAUGAAGAGGUUGGAUGGAUGGAUGGAGGGAUGGAGGGAUGAGGAUGAAGAGAUUGGAUGAAGGGAUGAAUGGAGGGAUGGAGGGAUGAGGAUGAAGAGGUUGGAUGGAUGGAUAGAUGGAGGGAUGGAUGGAGGGAUGAGGAUGAAGAGGUUGGAUGGAGGGAUGGGGAUGAAGAGGUUGGAUGGAGGGAUGGGGAUGGAGGGAUGAGGAUGGAGAGGUUGGAUGGAGGGAUGGAGGGAUGGAGGGAUAAGGAUGGAAGAGGUUGGAUAGAUGGAUGGAGGGAUGAGGAUGAAGAGAUUGGAUGGAGGGAUGGAUAGAGGGAUGGAGGGAUGAGGAUGAAGAGGUUGGAUGGAUGGAUAGAUGGACAGAUGGAUGGAGGGAUGAGGAUGAAGAGGUUGGAUGGAGGGAUGGGGUUGGAUGGAUGAGGAUGAAGAUGUUGGAUGGAGGGAUGGGGAUGAAGAGGUUGGAUGGAUGGAGGG
ensembl:lncRNA